GACGAACGCUGGCGGCGUGCUUAACACAUGCAAGUCGAACGAUGAAGCUGGAGCUUGCUCCGGUGGAGUAGUUGCGAACGGGUGAGUAACACGUGAGAAAUCUGCCGUUGACUGUGGGAUAACUGCGGGAAACUGUAACUAAUACCGGAUACGAGGUACGGAGGCUACAGCGGGUUGGGGCAGAAUUGCGGUCAAGGAUGAGCUCGCGGCCUAUCAGCUUGUUGGGGAGGUGAUGGAGCACCAAGGCGACGACGGGUAGCGGGGCUGAGAGGGUGACCGGCCACACUGGGACUGGGACACGGCACAGACUCCUACGGGAGGCAGCAGUGGGGAAUAUUGCACAAUGGGCGAAAGCCUGAUGCAGCAACGCCGCGUGAGGGAUGAAGGCCUUCGGGUUGUAAACCUCUUUUAGCAGGGAAGAAGCGAAAGUGACGGUACCUGCAGAAAAAGCACCGGCUAACUACGUGCCAGCCGCCGCCGUAA
rnacentral:rRNA from 1 species